GCGCCCGUAGCUCAAUGGAUAGAGCGUUGGCCUCCGGAGCCAAAGGUUGCAGGUUCGACCCCCGCCGGGCGUA
rnacentral:tRNA from 1 species